GCCGUGGCCUACUGGUUAGCGCUUCGGACUUGUAACCGGAGGGUUGUGGGUUCGAACCCCGACCAGUAGGCA
rnacentral:tRNA from 1 species